rnacentral:rRNA from 1 species
GCUCGUAGUUGGAUUUCUGGCAGGGUGACUCUGCCCUCUUGAUGAGUGCGCAGUGUUGCCCUACCAUCCUUCUGUUAACCCUUUAGGCCUUAAAAAGUCUUUUGGGGGCUCAGAUAUUUUACCUUGAGAAAAUUAGAGUGUUUCAGGCAGGCUAGCGCCGGAAUACAUUAGCAUGGAAUAAUAGAAUAGGACUUUUACCUCUUCUGUUGGUCUGAGGGGUUCAAGUAAUGAUUAAUAGGGAUAGUUGGGGGCAUUAGUACUUUACUGUCAGAGGUGAAAUUCUCGGAUUUGUAAAAGACUAACUUAUGCGAAAGCAUUUGCCAAGGAUGUUUUCAUUAAUCAAGAACGAAAGUUAGGGGGAUCAAAAUACGAUCAGAUACCGUAGUAGUCUUUAACCAUUAAACUAUGCCGACUCGGGAUCGGGGGGCGAGAGUUAUCCGCCUUUCGGACCCGUAUGAGAAAAUCAAAGCCUUUGGGUUCUGGGGGGAGUAUGGGCCGCAAGCUUGAAACUUAAGGGAAUUGACGGAAGGCAACCACCAGGGUGGAGGUUUGCGCUUCAUUUUGACUCAACACGGGAAACCUAACCAGGUCCAGAC